rnacentral:rRNA from 1 species
AUUGAACGCUGGCGGCAGGCCUAACACAUGCAAGUCGAACGGUAACAGGAAGAAGCUUGCUUCUUUGCUGACGAGUGGCGGACGGGUGAGUAAUGUCUGGGAAACUGCCUGAUGGAGGGGGAUAACUACUGGAAACGGUAGCUAAUACCGCAUAACGUCGCAAGACCAAAAAGGGGGACCUUCGGGCCUCUUGCCAUCGGAUGUGCCCAGAUGGGAUUAGCUAGUAGGUGGGGUAACGGCUCACCUAGGCGACGAUCCCUAGCUGGUCUGAGAGGAUGACCAGCCACACUGGAACUGAGACACGGUCCAGACUCCUACGGGAGGCAGCAGUGGGGAAUAUUGCACAAUGGGCGAAAGCCUGAUGCAGCCAUGCCGCGUGUAUGAAGAAGGCCUUCGGGUUGUAAAGUACUUUCAGCGGGGAGGAAGGGAGUAAAGUUAAUACCUUUGCUCAUUGACGUUACCCGCAGAAGAAGCACCGGCUAACUCCGUG